UACAGAGGGUGCAAGCGUUGUUCGGAAUUAUUGGGCGUAAAGGGCGCGUAGGCGGUGCGGUAAGUCACCUGUGAAAUCUCCUGGCUUAACUGGGAGCCUGCAGGCGAAACUACCGUGCUGGAGUGUGGGAGAGGUGCGUGGAAUUCCCGGUGUAGCGGUGAAAUGCGCAGAUAUCAGGAAGAACACCCGUGGCGAAGGCGGCUCUCUGGGACGGUACUGACGCUGAGACGCGAAAGCGUGGGGAGCGAACAGG
rnacentral:rRNA from 1 species